rnacentral:snRNA from 1 species
GGAUGUGAGGGCAAUCUGGCCGUGACAUCUUGUCACCCCACUGAUCGCCAGGGUUGAUUUGGCUGAUCUGGCUGGCUAGGCAGGUGUCACCUUCCCCCCCACGGCUCCCUGAGCGGAGCAGCUCUGCACUGGCGCUCCUCUGAAUAGAGGACGGGUCUUCGUUUGAGGGUAUAUGAGUAGCUGCACUCCCCUGCUAGAACCUCCAAACAAGCUCAAGUAUUGGUAAGACUGAGCUGGGGAAGGGGCACCAUUUCAAAUUCGUUUUUGUUUUUGCGUCUCACUCUAGCCCAGACUGACCUGGAAU